rnacentral:lncRNA from 1 species
UUCUAGGGGCUAGAAGACUGGAAUCAAGUUGUUGGCAGGACUUGUUUUCUCUGAAGGCUCCAGGGAGAAUCCGUCCUCGCCUCUUCUCUCUGCCAAGGCUUCCAACAAGCCUUGGUGUCCUUGGCUGGUGGCCACCUCACUCCAUCUCUGCCUCCGUUUUCCCACGGCCGUCCUCCCCACGUGUCUAUUUUCAGAAGAUCGCUAUUCAACCCGGUACAGAGGGCAGAACAAUGGAGGAGAGAGAACACUCUGGACAUUGGGGUGAAACGUUUGCUGGCCUCUUGGUGCAAGCUGGAGAAAGGCUGGAGCCUGGAGCCCUUCCAAAGAGCAGGAGGAAAGCCCGAGGAGUGAGGGAAGUGCUGAGGAAGACAGGAAAGGAAUUGUACCCAGGUA